CAGAGCAUAACUUAAAUUAAAGUAUUCCGUUUACACCGAACUGAUGCCUGGUAACCCGGGCUGCUCUGAG
rnacentral:tRNA from 1 species